CGUCACGCACGGCGGCGCGCACAGCCGGCAAUCCAUCAGCAGGGGGGGCAAUGCCCAGCCGGGCUCUUCCACCAGCAGAGGCUUCACCGACUGCACAAAUGCUCACAGCCGAGAUUUAGGACGGGAUUGUACAGGAUAGAUGGCGUAGUUCAUGAUUGGCAUGGUUUCACGAGGGGAAAAGAAAUUCUUCGAGCGCUGAAGUCUAGAAACCACACCAAAGGGAGAGAAACUGCAUACUCGAAGCGCACAUUUUCAGCUACAAUUUAGUCAGUAUAAUUUGAAAGCCAGAUGGAAGGACAAUGAUGACUUUAAUGUAACUCUACACAUUCAGCCUUGCUGUAAAUUUCAUAAUUUUCAGCAAGAUACCUUCCUGAAGAGUUUCAACAUCAUAUUUGGAAAUAUAAGCUUCCCGAGUUGAAUGCCACACAUUGUACCAGCUGACAGGAACACAGGGUCCACUGGAUAUUUGUGAUUGCUUACUGAUAAUGCUGGCUGUGAACAGUGCUUCAUCCAUUGUUGCAUAAGAUGGCUAAUAUUUUGCUUAUUAAAAACAAAUGCAUGCAUAGAUCACUCUCUCUGAGGCCCAUUAGAGUACAGAAUGUUAAUCUGCCUUCCUCUUAAAAUCCAGGGACUUUUCAAUCAUUAUUCACUUCUACUCGAUCAACCUUGUCUUUUUGCACGCUCUUGGUAAAUAUUCGUCUCUAGAUUUUGCCCUUAAUCUAAAGUCUUCAUUUAAGAGAGGUAGAGUCAUCUCCGUGCAUCCAGGAUCAUAGGAAUGAUAAAAUGAUUACAAUGCUAAAGGAGGUCAUUCAUCCCUUUUGUCUAUAUCAGCUCUCUGCAAGAACAACAUUGCUAUUUAUUCCCACUGUUCUGCCUUUUCCAUGUGGCAUGACAAUUAUUUUCUCUUCAGAUGCUUAUCUAAUUGCCUUUUGAAAGAUACAACAUAAUCUGCCUCCACUAAACUCUCAGUUAGUGCAUUAUAGAUAUUAACCACUUGCUACAUAGAAAAGGUUUUUUUUUCAGGUCACCAUUGCUUCUUUUGUCAUUCUCUGUCUCUCCAACUCUGUCUAGAUCACUCAUGAUAUUGAACAAUCUUUUAAACCUACUCUCAACCUUUUCUUCUUUUCUCUUCUCUUCUCUAAGGAGAAUAACCCUAAUUUCUCCACUCUAUCGUCAUAUCUGAAAUCUCUCAUCCCCAAAACCCUUCUCAUAAGGCUUUCUCUAUCAUCUUUAAAGCCUUCACAUUCUUCCUAAAGUCCCAGAAUAGGAUACAAACUCCAGAUAAGAGUGAACCAGUAUUUUAUAACAGUUUACCAUAACUUCCUUGCUUUUGUUUGCUACACCUCUAUUUGAAGUGCCCAGGAUCCGAUACCAUUUGCCUUUUUAAUCACUUUCCCAACCUGUUUUGCCACCUUCAGCGGUUUCCAAAUAUGAAUCUCCAAAUUCUCAGUCCCUGCAUCCCUUUAGAAUUGUACCCUUAAGAUUCUAUAGUCUCUCUUCAUUCUUCAUAUAAAAAUAAAUCACUUUACACUUCUCUGCAUUACAUUUCAUUUAUUUUGUCCAUGUUUGUUCCCUCUUGAAGUCUAUCAUUAUCCUACUCGUUCACAAUACUACAAGUUUUGUGUCAUCCACAGAUUUUAUAAUUGCACUAUGUAAGUUCAGUAAUUCUUGUACCAACACUUAAGGAAUCCUGUGAUGAUUCGAAUUAGGUCGUCCAGGUGGACCUCAUAUUCUAUGAGUUCCCUUAUUUGAGUGUUAACCUGGUCCUAUCAGGGUGUCCUGACUUAUGGAUAUAAACAAGAGUGGUAGGGGUUCUGUUCACUCUAGGAGCCAGCUCUGAGCUAGCUGGGUGAGUGUUAUGUACUGUGCAAACUAAAUGAAGGAUGACGUAGUGACA